GUUUGUACAUGGCUCAGAUUGAACGCUGGCGGCAUGCUUAAUACAUGCAAGUCGAACGGUAACAGGUUCUUCGGAAUGCUGACGAGUGGCGGAAUGCUGACGAGUGGCGGACGGGUGAGUAAUGCAUAGGAAUCUGCCCAUGUAGUGGGGGAUAACUUGGGGAAACUCAAGCUAAUACCGCAUAAUUCCUACGGGAGAAAGAGGGCCUAUACUUGUAAGCUCUUGCUAUUGGAUGAGCCUAUGUCGGAUUAGUUAGUUGGUGAGGUAAUGGCUUACCAAGACUACAAUCCGUAGCUGGUUUGAGAGGAUGAUCAGCCACACUGGGACUGAGACACGGCCCAGACUCCUACGGGAGGCAGCAGUAGGGAGUAUUGGACAAUGGGCGCAAGCCUGAUCCAGCAAUGCCGCGUGUGUGAAGAAGGCCUGCGGGUUGUAAAGCACUUUCAAUUGGGAAGAAAGAUUUAGAGUUAAUACCUCUUAAUAUUGACGUUACCAAUAGAAGAAGCACCGGCUAACUCUGUGCCAGCAGCCGCGGUAAUACAGAGGGUGCGAGCGUUAAUCGGAAUUACUGGGCGUAAAGCGCGCGUAGGCGGCUUUUUAAGUCGGAUGUGAAAGCCCUGGGCUCAACCUGGGAAUUGCAUUCGAAACUGGGUAGCUAGAGUUUGGUAGAGGUAAGUGAAUUCCGGGUGUAGCGGUGAAAUGCGUAGAUAUCCGGAGGAACAUCAGUGGCGAAGGCGGCUUACUGGACCAAAACUGACGCUGAGGCUCGAAAGCGUGGGGAGCAAACAGGAUUAGAUACCCUGGUAGUCCACGCCCUAAACGAUGUCAACUAGACGUUGGGCUCAUUAAGGAGCUUAGUGUCGCAGCUAACGCGUUAAGUUGACCGCCUGGGGAGUACGGCCGCAAGGUUGAAACUCAAAGGAAUUGACGGGGGCCCGCACAAGCGGUGGAGCAUGUGGUUUAAUUCGAUGCAACGCGAAGAACCUUACCAGCCCUUGACAUCCUGGGAACUUUGUAGAGAUACAUUGGUGCCUUCGGGAAUCCAGUGACAGGUGCUGCAUGGCUGUCGUCAGCUCGUGUCGUGAGAUGUGGGUUAAGUCCCGCAACGAGCGCAACCCUCGCCUUUAGUUGCCAGCAUUUAGUUGGGCACUCUAGAGGGACUGCCGGUGAUAAGCCGGAGGAAGGUGGGGAUGACGUCAAGUCCUCAUGGCCCUUAUGGGUUGGGCUACACACGUGCUACAAUGGCGGCGACAGAGGGGCAGCGACCCCGCGAGGGUGAGCAAAUCUCCAAAAGCCGUCUCAGUUCGGAUUGUUCUCUGCAACUCGAGAGCAUGAAGUUGGAAUCGCUAGUAAUCGCAGAACAGCAUGCUGCGGUGAAUACGUUCCCGGGCCUUGUACACACAGCCCGUCACAUCAUGGGAGUUGGCCACGCCCGAAGUCGUUACUCUAACCUUUCGAGGGGGAGGGCGCCGAAGGCAGGGCUGAUGACUGGGGUGAAGUCGUAACAAGGUA
rnacentral:rRNA from 1 species